GCCGCGCGGAAGCCGGGGCCUCGCGUGGCGAGCGGGCGGCGCGGGGAGACGCCUCGGCCGGCAGCGGCUCUGCGAGCGGCCGGGGUGGUUGGGAGCCGGCUGGGCCGCGCUGGGGAGCGGGGGGGAGAGCGGGUUUUCCCGGGGCGCUGUGGCCCUGCGGGUAUGUGCGGGCCAGGCGGCUGAGAGGGCCGGCCCGAGGCGUCUGGGCCGCCAGCCUUCCCCCGGUGUGGGGCGUGUGGGGGGCCCAGCGCCGCAGCAGCCUUGAAUCGAGUCUAGGCCAAUGGGGAGUGGAAAUAACUACAAAGAAGAAAAAGCAGGUUGUGAAUCAAUUCAAGAAUGAACAAAUGUAAGAAGCCUUAUGUUGACAAGGCUCCAAACCUUGAAAAGUUCAGUCCUGAAAUUCUUUCUGAAAUUGAGGCGCUCUUUGCAAAGAAGUUUACUUACACUAAGCCAGUGAAUAAUGAAUGGCAGCUACCGGAUCCCAGUGAUGCUUUUACAUGCGAUCAUGAGGAAUUGAACUCACUCCUGGCUCUGAAGGACUCUAUGAAUGAAGUGAAGAAUCAACUGAGUGAUAAGAACCUGGAUGAAUGGCAUCAGCACACCUCAUUUACCAAUAAAGCGGGGAAAAUAAUUCCUCAUGUCAAGAAAUCUGUGAAUGCUGAGCUGUGUACCCAGGCAUGGUGCAAAUUUCAUGAGAUCCUGUGCAGCUUUCCUCUUCUCCCUGAAGAAGCUCUUCAGGAUGGAGAGCUGAAUUCUGUCCACCUCUGUGAAGCACCUGGAGCUUUUAUAGCCAGCCUCAAUCACUACUUGAAAUCCCACCAUGUCCCUUGUGACUGGAAUUGGGUAGCCAACACUCUAAACCCAUAUCAUGAAGCAAAUGACACCCUUAUGAUGAUCAUGGAUGACCGUCUUAUAGCAAAUACAUUGCCUUGGUGGUACUUUGGCCCAGAUAACACUGGUGAUGUAACGACAUUGAAACAUCUAACAGGACUUCAGAACUUUGUAAGUAAUAUGGCCACAGUUCACUUAGUAACUGCUGAUGGCAGCUUUGAUUGCCAGGGAAAUCCAGGUGAACAGGAGGCUCUUGUCUCACCCCUUCAUUACUGUGAAACAGUCACUGCGUUAAUGAUCCUGGGCACUGGAGGAUCCUUUGUUUUGAAGGUGUUCACGCUGUUUGAACACUGUUCUACCAAUCUGCUCUUUCUGCUGAACUGCUCUUUUGAGGAGGUCCAUGUCUUUAAGCCAGCCACUAGCAAAGCUGGAAACUCCGAGGCCUAUGUGAUUUGUCUUCGCUAUAUGGGCAGAGAAAGUAUUCAUCCGCUGCUUUCUAAGAUGAUACAGAACUUUGGAACAGAAAUGGUCAACAAAGCACUUUUCCCCCUGCGUAUGCUACCAGAAUCUUUUCUUAAAAUACAUGAAGAGUGUUGCAUUUUCUUCCACAAGUGCCAGGUAGAGACUAUCUCUGAGAACAUCCAUCUAUUUGAGCACUUGGAAGAAGCAGAGCAGACGAAACUGAACACGUUAAGAGAUUGUGCAGUAGAGUUCUUCAUGCAAAGAUUUCACAUGAAACCCAUUGCCAGAAACAACUGGCUUGUCAAGAAAUCUCAGACUGGUUGUAGCAUGAAUGCAAAAUGGUUUGGGCAAAGAAACAAGUAUUUUAGUACAUACAAUGAAAGGAAGAUGCUUGAAACCCUUACGUGGAAUGAUAAAGUGGCAAAGGGCUAUUUUAAUCACUGGGCUGAAGAACAUAGUUUAAAUAACGCUGGUAAAAUGUGUAUCUUGGAAGGAUCAUCUUCUAACCUUGAGUGUAGCUUGUGGUACGUUUUGGAAGGAAAAAGGCUGCCGGUGGUAAAAUGUUCUCUAUUUUGUGAUGGCCAAGUCCUGGAAAAUCUUAAUGAAGCUAUGAACGAAUUGGUGGGGGGGAGGCUGAAAAGCAGACAUAUGCUGCAGACUUGUCACUCGUGUGAACCUCUUCCUGGGGAACUGAUCCUGGCAGAAGUGUAUGAUCUCUCCAGGUGUCAUCAGGAAGUCCUAAAUGAAAGAUGUAGUGAGAAGUUCAGGUGCCUUGUGGUAGACUUUCCAUCCCUCUGUGAUACUGAAAGCCAACCUGGUAUGGAAAUAAGCCUCCUGGACUCGGCCACACUGCUGACUUUCAGCUUCUCUUUACUUUAUGAUGGAGAACCAAAGUACCAGCAGCAGCUUUUGGAGUGUGUCCUGUGUUCGUUGAAUCAUCUUACAAUGGGAGAUGCAUUGAUUUUGCCUAUUCUCUCUUGUUUCACACGCUUCACGGCCAGCCUGGUCUUUAUACUGCACUGUUGUUUCAGAUGUAUCACAUUUGCUUGUCCAACCUCUUGUGAACCUCUAAGAACUAGUGCGGCUUUGCUGUGCGUUGGUUACAGAGGUGUCCCAAAUCCAGUUGUUGAAUAUCUGCAGCAUCUGAAUAAACUAAUAAGCUCUUUACUAGACACAGACUCUCCACAGCAGGUUUUGCAGUUUGUGCCUAUGGAGGUUCUCCUCCAGGGCAAGCUGUUGGAGUUCUUGUGGGAUUUAAACACAGCCAUUGCAAAGAGACAACUCCACUUGAUUGUGCAAGCUAAGCAGCAGCAAAUGACUAGCAAUAUUUCACUUAAAGCAUAGACUUGAGCAAGUUGCCACUGCUAGACCUUGCUUCACAGGCAGGUAGAAGGUGUUAAAAACAUUAUUAAUGGGAAGGUAAUGUUACUGUAAAACCCUGGUGUGACAUUGCUAGUGUUGGGAGGGUGUUUUGAGCUGCCAGUCCCAUUUAGACCAUAUUGACCUGCGGCACAUAAACCUGAGGCUUAAUCUCAGGCUUGGGAGACUUGGGGGGUGGGGGGGCAGUGACUGAAGUGGAGAAACUGCUCCUCUGUCACAGCUCUCCCUGAGCAAAUUUCUUUGUGUACCACCUAGGUCAGAACCAUGGUCUUCCAGUGAGAAGACCGGGUUUAGACCUGUUGUGUCAAGCCAGGUGAUGGGGAACCCUCUUUGUGUGACAUUAGCCCUCUUCUGUGCAGCAAAAUAUAGGAGUUCUGACACACCUGUAUACUUUUCCAGGGUUUGUAGAAGCUGAAACAUGAAGUUUGGGCCAGUGGUGUUCAAGCCUGAUGUAAGGCUCAAGGGAUGAGGGUCUUGUAAGCAGACAGCUGUCUUUUAAAGGCUGGGUUAAAAAUGGCUGCCUGUAAGCAGUAGCAGAGGUGUCCUGUGAAUGGUGCUCUUUGCUUUUAAUUUCAUUUAAACAAAGAGCAGCAAACUGUGUAUGGUUUUUGACAGGUGGUUGUGUGGCUUUGUCUCCCCAUUGAUGAACAGGCUGUUAAAAUGUUAUUUUUAUGUGGCUUAUGGGUCCUCCUUAAAAUAAUUGGAGACUCCUGAGUGAAAGUGAAGACUUGCAUCUGUAUGGCAGCAGCUAUUAAUGAGGAACUACAAAUCUUUUCUCAGACAAAAAACAUGAUCAUGCACAAAUUUGUGUAUCAAGAAGUGCUCUGUGUGCCGCUGGAGGAGCUUUAAGCUGAAGAAAUGUGACUUUCUUUAGAAAAGUGAAUAAAAUUUCAGUUUGCUACCCUGAAGGAUAAAAAAGAUUAAAUCGGUACUGUUCCUUUAAGGGAGUCAGAUUUUAUUUUCCAUAUUGCUCCUUUGUGAGCUAAAUUUUGAGGCCUAACUUGUGUAGGUGAACAUUUAGUUUUAAGCCUGUAGUAUAUGUGGAAAAACCUGCUCAGAGGGAGAAAACAUGUUUAAAGGGAAAAUGACUUUGCUGUUGAUAUGUGCAAGAUCUCAUAGAAAAAGGUGGAAAGAGUGGAGUUAGUAAGAAGGUAAAUGUAGUCUGCUGAUGAAUUACCAGUCACCUGCUGGAGGCACUUCUAAUUAUAUAAUGUGGGAGCUUGAAGGGUAAUUGAUUACUGGUGAGGGAUUAAAAGCACUGCUGAAAAACUGUUUUGUCUGGAGAUGCUGCACAUUUAAUAGGCUUCUUUGCCACAUUGUUCAGGGCACAGUUCAAUGUGUUUUAACAGUUCAUUUUUUUUAUUUAACUUGAUAGAUGAAUCAGGUGGUGGCUCAGGGCUGACGAAUGCAUAACGUUUUCUAAAAAUCUUGCUUUUUACACUUGCACAUAAAUAGAAGCAGCCUAAACAAAGACUUCUGGGAUUGGUCAUUGUCCAUGUAAUUUAUUUAAAUGCACUUGCUCUUUUUGCUGUGAGCUGAGUCAUGCUUCCUCCUUUAGACCAGGAAGGAAGGGAACAGAGGCUACAGACUUGGGAGAGAGAUGCAGUAAGAGCUUCUCUAAAUCAUUUUUUGAACCUGUGAAGUCAAGAGUGCAAGCAGGGCCACAGAUGUAUUUUACUGAAGAAUAAAAAAGAAAUGCUGAAAAACAAAAUAAGGAAGGGGGGAAGUAUUGUAGAAGAAUGGAUGAUAACAGUAUCAAAAAUCACCUGUGAAAGCCUUCUUUAUCUGAAACAAAAAGCAGGAUAAAGAUAUUGUCCACCAAAGACACCUCUGUGUUUCUGCCACUAUUUCAGAGGUGAUUAAUCGUUCUGAAACUCCCACUGAGCUGAAGCAUUUGAAAAGAGGUCUCUGAAAGCAGGGGUAAAUGAGGUAAUUAAGGGCAUGGAUGUACUUACACUGUGAUACUCUGCCAUACAGGCCUGAGUAGCAAGAAGCAUCUCAUCUAGUAGGUACUUAAAUAACUUGUUUUUGUCUACUAACAUUAGUCUCAUAUUUUUAAGUUAUUAUCUUGUAUGUAAAGUAAAAUCCUGAGGUGACUGACAGACCGUGAGAGAAAAUGCGUUUAUUUUUUCAAGCAUUCCUUGGUCUGUUCUGUGUGUCUGACAAACUGUGCAGCUUCCUUGAGAUUCCUCCCAUCCUGUUGUUCCCCGUAUCAUCAGCCAGGUGCCCUUUUUUCAUGAACUUUUAGAAUAAAUACUUCAGAUGGUCACAGACCUUUGGGGGGAGUUAGGACUGUGUACAUCAGUAUGCUCUAGACUGAGCUGGUGGGGAAAUGCAAUCCAUCUGUUUGGAAGGACACCCCAAAACUGUGUGCAAGCCCUUCUGUGGAAAGCCAGGUCUCUAAAUGGAAGGAAAUCCAAUGUCCUGUGGAUCCUGAUGCCCAAUUUGCUCUGGAGCUUUUUUGUUGGCAGGCUUGGGGAGAUGACAGGAGAAAUGCCUUAAUGGCAGCUGCUCCUUGUGUUAAAAAGGAUGGAUGUGAUUUAGAGAGUCUUUUUAUUAUUAUUGUCUUAAUGGCAGGAGUUUCAAAGUUAGGAAUGACACUUGUCUUUAAUUGUGAGAAUCUAACAUUGUUCUAGUUGCCUUUAGACCAAAGAUUUCUGUGAGAAGUGACAAUUUCUGGUGAGACUUUCGGAAUAUGUAAGAAUGCAUGGGAAGAAUGUAUGAACCAUUGUGGAGGGGGUCUGAUGACUCCUGCCUUAGUCGUGGCUGUCAAGUUUUGGCCAAUUUGAUUUUAUGUUUAGGUGACACCCAAUUAAGUGUCUCAGUAUCCUGGCUGCUUGAAGAUGAACUGGGUAUUGGUUUUCAUCAUUAGGAGCUUAAGGUUUCACAGAGGGGGAAUUAGGUUUCACAGAGGGGGAAUUAGAGGGGGUGGAGAGAAUAAGUUGGUUAUCCUGUGAUUGAGAUUCAUGCAAACUUGAGGUGAAAGUUUUGUAGCCCUGCUAUCACAGGUUUCCAAUGAAGGACCAAUAUUUAGGCCCAAUGAUUAGCUAUGAGCUACAUUAUUUUACUGAAACUUCUUGGAUUUUUUUUUUUUUUAAAGUCAGCAUAACAUUUUGAAAUCAGUUGCAUGAGGGUUGAAUGAAUUGGGUAUUCCAUUAAGUGAAAAUGCUGUUGUGUUUUUUUUUAAAGUUGAGUUCCUUUAAAGUUAAGAGAAGUGCUGCUUAUUUUUACUAAUUUUAUAUUGUAUUUAGAAUAAUUUGGAUGUGCACAAACUAUAUGUUCUUGCCGCUGACUUGCCAAUGUAAUUUCUACAAAACAUAAUGAGAUUUAUAUUAUGAAAUCUGGCAGUCUAUUAAAAUGGUACUAAGUGAUGUCUAUUCGUCUUAAUUAAGCUAGAUGUAUUAAAUUACUAGUUGUAAAAGUAGAAUAUGUAGCAGAAUUGUAUUCUAUUAGGAAACUUGGCAUUUAAUGGGAGGGGAUUAAGAUUGCUUAUGUAGAAAGUAGGAGAAAAGAAAAACACCAUUCAAUUUCGGGCCACUGAGCUGGGUGCUUUAGGAUGAAGAAUAACAUCAAAUCCUUGAUUCACUGGAAGCAAGGGUUGGCCAGUAAGCAGAAGCCUCAGAGCCUCCUGUUACCAUCCCUACAAACUGACUUUUGACAUCCUUUUAAAUUGCAGUCUAUUUAAUUCUUAGUAGUGAAAUGGGGGAAAUCCUGUGUAACUUGUUUUACCAUUUUGGGUGGUAUGAAAUGGUGUUUACUUGUCCCCAUUUCUCAUUUUUAAACAAGAGCCUCUAAAUUUCACCUCAUAGUCUUUGAGAAUCAGUCUCUCUUCUUAGCACUUUAGUGGAUGAAAUCUGAGAUGAAAAUUUCCUUGCUGAAGUCGAGUAAUGGUUUCUCCAUGUCAUUUUUGCAAAUAUUUUCAUGAAUGCCAUGCUGAUAUCCUUAGUUCCGGUUCUUGGUGUGGUUCAGUCCAAAUGGAGCUGUUUAUGCCAGAAGAGUUCUCAGCCUGUGGCUGUUCUUGCUUGCUUUUUAAGUGAUAAUUUGGAUUGCCAUUGAGCCCUCUCUUGUAACCCUUUAUGGGUUGGAGCUGAUUGCAAGUCUUAAGAAUGAAAUUUGCUAAAAGAAUUAGCCAGUGGCUGUAGACGCUUAGGCUUGUAACAAGCAGAACCUUUAGGGGACAUUUAAAUGCAGGAAACUUUUCCAGGAGAGGCUCAGAACUUGCAGCUGAUGGGAUUUGCUAGCCUUUCCUUGCUAAAAAUUCUUUAAAAAAGACUUUGAGGCAUAACCACCUAAACAAACAGUUCAGCAGUUGUGUGUGCCUUGUGCAUGUUCAUGCUUGCAUGUGUGGUAACCCCCAGGGUUGUACAGCUGUGAAGUUUUUUUUGUUUUGUAACUGAUUCAUGUGUGCUUUUGUUUUUAAGGUUGUUUGUAUUUUUCUAAGUAGAUGAAAGUAUCUUGGUUUACAUGGCUAUUGCUUCUUUUCAUUUGGUCUGCAACUGAGUGUUAAAAGAUCUUUUUUUAAAAAGAAAGGAAAAUAAAUAUUAUUUGGAGAAAAUAAAGUAUUUUGUUUUAGGUUUUAAAUGUUGCUAUUAUGUGUUUCUUUGCCAAACAUGGAACAAAACAAUGAAGUGCAGUAGGGAGAAGUCUGGGGCGGUUUAAUGUUUCACUGGUUUUGAGCCACAGUUUCCUCAUACUGCCAUUUGCAUCCAUCCUUAAUGAGCAAAGGAUGCAGGGGCAUUGGAGCGGCCUGCAACGGUGAGGGUGGUGUUUGAUUCUCACAUUCUUUAACUGCCUUUACCUUUGCAGUUUACCAGCUCAAAGAGAGACUCCAGUUGUAGAUGUGGUCAAAGCAGUGUGUAGGAGGCCUGCACAGUGAUCCCUUGGCCUUGUCACUAAGCCUAACAAUCUAUGUCUCCUUGUGUGGUUGCUGUAACCUACUUUAACAGCAGGGAUUUUGUCCUAAGGAUCUUCAGUUUCUCCUGCUGUGACAGCCACUCUAGUAGUACAAGGCUGUUAUAUGCUGUACUUGUGUCUGCGAAGUCUAUUAUUAAUCCUUAUCCAAAUGUUUUCAUUCUAAGUGCUUGCCUUCACUGAAUGGUAUUAUUAAGAAAAAGCUGUGUGCCUUAUUCCUCAGGGCUGGCUCUGCUGUACUGACAAGGGUUCCAGCUGAUUGUCUUUGGUUUGGCUAGCCGAUUUGUCUUGAGACUGCUUGCUAACCAAUUUUGAUUGCAGUUAUUAAUGCUAACAGUUUUUUAUUGCUUUUCUCUUUGCAAGUGAACUCAAAAUUGGCUGGGGAAGAUAAUGCUGUGUCCUAGAGACUUGGAAAACUGUUUAAAGCUCUGGAUAUUGUCCAACUUUAAAUUCUCGCACCUUCCACAUGAAGUGAGUAUCACAGCUCUCGGAAAACAGACCAGAUUCUAACUGUACUUGCUCAGACUUCUGGGGGGAGUCGAUAGGAAGCAGAUUAGCCUCAAAUGUGAAAUGCAGUCUGACUGGUGUCUUAGUGGGUCCUCCUGUCUUAGAGGGGGCAGACAGGACAGCCAUUGCUCCUUGGGCUGGGUGCUGGGACAGCAGGGUUUGCUAAAGUGGGACUGGAACAGAAGUUACAGGCCUCUUCUGAGUCCUCUAGUGUCAUCCUGAAUAAAAACCGUGACAAGUUUAAGGGACAUCAGAACACAUUUGGGUCUAAGCACAUGUAGUGGCUGAGAAUACCUAUUAGUUUCAGUAACUGACUUGGCUUGUCAUGUCAUUGUUUGCCGUUUUGAAGUGACCUGAACUGUUUCCUGAAGGAAACAGUGACAGCAGCAGUCUCAGGAGCCUGAGUGGAAGUAAUGAAGUGGUAAUUAGCAAUUAAUAAAAUGUGGCGGAGCUUACAAUUUUAAUAACUGCUGCACUGGCCUAGAGGUCUGGUGCUCGAGUGAAGUAGUCCCUUGGAAAUCUCCAACUCUGAAGCUUAAUUAUGAUUUCCUUUAGACGCUAUCUGCUCUUAGAGCCAACUUGUAUAUUUAUUUUUUCCCCUGAAGGUAGAUGAGGCUUUAAGGGCUCUGCUUCUGUGCUUUUUCAGGGCAGAGAUUAAAUGGAAGCUAGGAUUAAGAUAAGGGGACUGAGAUGGCCUCUGUGACUGAUGUAUCAUGCAGAGACUGGGAGGGCAUGGUUCUGUUAAAAUAGCCAGCUGGGUCUUGGAAAAGUGUUUGGAUAUAGGAGGAGCUGGGUAAAAAUGUGGACAGAGCCUGCUCUGUAUUUUGCCCAGGGUUUUUGUCUUGUUUCCAGUGGGAGUACAAACGGAGACUGUGCUGUCUGUCUGCUCUUCUUUUCGCCUUCCUUCUUCGAGCCUUUCUGAGCCAUGUCUGGCAGAUGUCAAGUUCUUACAGAUACUAUGAUAAUGAAAGGCAAGGAUUGCUAAGUAACCCUCCUGACCUGAAGUUACCACUGGGUUACUAACAGCAGGCAAACCCUGGAGUCGGAGACCAGUGACUGUCUCCUGAGGAACAAGGAUGCCUGUAGUGGUGGUGAUGCGCGGUGGCGAAGCUGCUUGCUCCUGGGAUCUGUGGUAUUGCUUUGCUUUACCAGUCACGUGCUGGUUUAUGCCUUGCUGGGUGCUGUAAGGUCAGCUCAGGUCAGAAGCCAUCACCACUUCUUGCCUUCCUAAAGAUGAGCCUGAAAAAUAGUCAGAUGACGAAAACCAAUAGCCAAACAUCACCUGCCUUCCCCUCAGCCCCUCCGCGACGUUAAUCAUCGAUGGCAGGACCUAACAGCGAGUCAGGUUAGGCUGAAUUCUGGUUUUUGUUUUCAGCUAUAGGAAUGCCCUAUGGACUCGAACAGAGCAAAACACCUUUCAAGCAGCAAAGGUGAUAAAAUGGGACAUGGGAAUUUUGGAAGAUGUAAGUGGGACUUUAGAUGUCACUUGUUUCCACUGAAGGGUUGUAUUAAGGAUUCAAGUUUGUCUUGUGUACAUCGGUUUUAAUUAAUAGAGCAGAUGCACCAACAAUGCAUCUGGAAAUGAAAUGCAGGAGAAAAGAAGAGGCAGCUGGUCCUAGUGGAUGUAAAUAUUUGCUUUUUGGGAAGUGAAGCUCUGCAGAAACUUCAGGGACUCUUAAUUCAAAUUCAGAAGCCUUUUUUAUUUUGCCUGUGGAGAUAUAUGGAGCAGAAGAAAUUAACCAUAAUGCUUUGCUUGGUUCUAGUGCAUGUGAUGUAAGAAGCGUAAGUUUUUGGAGUAGGGCCAACCCAUGAAUAUCUUGGUUCCUGCUGAGAUAUUAAGGCCUGGCCUCUGUUAGUGCAAGAUGCAUUGAUGUCAGAGGAGCUGACUCUAUAUCAAGAAGCCUUCCCAGGCGUCUGCAGUAUGGUCUUGGGUUAUGAGCAUGGACAAAUUGAUACACUAAUUUUUGACCUGCUAUAGCAGAGCGGGUGCAGUGAUGCUACUUAACUAGGGUCUUAUUGGGAAACCAAGUGGAAGAGGUAUGUACGUAUGAAAGCCUCUGUUGAGCAGGUGUGGCAGGCAUGGAUAUGGUCUCUGGUCUUCAUGUGAAGCCGAGGGUUAAAAAAAAAGCAAAGCGUGAGUUAGGGCUUCACGUGUUUUGGUGGGACCCUUCACAGUUCUGCUGUGUUAUUUUUGAGGACUCUGCUUGAACUGCAGAAGAACAGUCUUUCUGUUUUGGGCUUUUUGGGGAGUCCCUGGCUGUCUUGUGUUAUCACUUGGAGAGCUUUUUGUUCUGUUUUGGUUUUUUUGAUUAGUGCCUGAAACUGCUAACAAGAAUUGGAAAACACAAGCCUAGAAGCACAACAUACCACAACAAGUGUAGAAUGUAAAAAGCAGAACAAACCAAACCCACUGUUAAAACAAGCCGUGACUGGAAAGCAAUGGUGCCCAUCCCCGAACUGGCAGUGCUGGAGAAGGCAGGCAAGAAGGGGGAGGGGUUGAUCCCAGAGCAGUAUUUUCUACUUGGUGAAGCAGGCAAUGGGGAUGGGAAGGAUUCCUCUAAGCAGGGAAGUGGUAGCACAAAUGUUGUUAAUGCUUAUCGCAGGCCGUCUGAGGGUAAGACAGCCUUCCUUGCUCUGCCGUUUUGUUUGAAAUAGGAUGUCUGGAUGCCUUGCACCCCACCUUGCAUGCAUCUAUGAUGGUCUCAUAUUUUGUAUCUUGAUGCUGAGAAUGCUACAUAGCAGAGGGAGCACCUCAAAAUGGCAGUACAGCGCAGAGGUGAGCUGGAUCUGGAUCAAGGUGAAGCUCCUCUGUCCUUAUAACUUUUAUGAAAGGAAGCUUGCAGGUGUCAGCAGUGCUGCUGCUGAGGGGAUUGGGUUUUCCAGACCUGGGGAGCAGGUUAUUCCCCUGCUUAUACUGUCUUUGCGUUGUGAAAGCUUGUGUACAGUAAUGCUUUGCUGUCCAUCGCUUCUGUUUCAGAGCUCUACUGUCAGUCCCUACUCUGGUUACUAUUGUCAUUGUCCUGUUCUCCUUCAUUUUUCAUCCUUAAUUGACCUUGGCGAGCAGCAGGCAUCUGAAGGUGAUGAUGAAAAUUUAAUGGAUUGGAAGAGGCAGCAGGACCACUGGCAGUGAAAGAUUUGUCAGGUGUUCAGUCUUGUAGGUGAUGCGGCUGAGAUCUUCCAGAAUGGUGAUCUGUUGGAAGAUGAGUCAGAUUCAAGGCGUCAUGAAGUUUAAUUUUGCAUUAUAAAGGGCUUUUCCGCUCUAAACUUAAAGCAAGCAAACAAGCAGUUGUUUCUUGGUAUUCCAAAAGCAAGUGGAAUCUCCUUUACUACUUCUGUCUUUUACCAGGUGUUGAAUUGGCAGCUGACAACCCCAGUGGUCUUGCUUCUGUUUCUCAGUUUUCCAUGUUGCGCGUGCUAUCCUUCUGUAUUUAGGUUGUGUGCAUUUUUGAAGUGCCUGCACACAUUCCUCUCUAUCCUGCUGUUUCUUACAGGAAAAACUGAGUUGCAGACAGCCACACUUUCAGGAUCACAUCCUCGGCAGGUAAUGGGAUAUGCCGUGGUCUGACUGUAUGAGGAAUUAUUGCAGAACCAGAGGUUAGGGCUGGGGAGACAAAAUGUUUGAACAGCGAUGAAGAGAAGGAUGCAAAGCCCCUUGGUUAGUGGAGUAAUUAUCUGUUGUUGAGGAUUUCUGGAAAAUAGAAGAGUUGUUAUGUUUGUGUCUGACUUUUUUUAUUCCCUUGCUACAGCUAGGGCCACUCUGUGUGCUGUUCCUUUCUAGUCUUGACCUUUUUUCUGGAGUUGCCCUACCUAGUUUUUGAGCUCCUUGACAAUAAGGUAGUUUACGGUGAAAACUAGAUGUCUUCAUCCGAGGUCAUACGGCUGCCAUGUGCAGGCUGUGUCUGCCUGAAUCAGGGGAUGGAGCACAAUCCAGGCAGUAAAGCAGGGAUCUGAGUGGAUAAUGAGAGUUCCAAAUGCCUGGAGCUGCCAGGCGCCUGGGCACGUGAAGGUCUCGAGAAGGGGGACUUCUGGAGUUUGGGGCAAUGAAAAAUGUGCCCAUGGGCUCAGUGCGGGGGCCAUGGCAGGUGGGAUGAGGAAUGGAGAAGGGGUUUGUAUAAAUGCUGACCUGUAGCCGCCAGCUUCUAGUGGCACCGUAAAAUCUUGAGGGCUUGAUCUAUACCUUAGGUGACUGAAGAUCAGGUAAACCUGUUGCCUGAUGUUUAAAUGCUGGGGUAACCUUGCUCUGUAGGGGACACAGGAAGCUUUGGAGGCAAUGCUGUGACAACGGGAGUGCUGUAAAGCAACAAGAGGCGGCAGUUUGUCGAAUUACACCAUCAGAUGUGGCCGACCUUUGUGGCGAAGGGAAUUGCUGUGGCACAGGGCAGAGGGCCUGGAAAUCUGUAUCCUGGGUGGCUUGUUGGGGGAGACUGACAUUUUGUCGAGGACUUGACAUGCCUGCUUCCCAGUGAGCUUUGGAAUACAGCUCUCAAAGCUGGCUGUAUUCAGAUGGAGCUGUGCUUCAGAGCUGCGCUUCAAAACCUUGUGGAGAACGUACCCGCAGGGGGGACUGUAAUUGCCAUGUAUUUUGACCAUAAUGAUAUGGGGGAAAGAACAGGGGCAGCUGUAAGCAAUAAAUGAGAUGUUACGUCUGA